CCACAUUCAGAAAUCUCUCAUCGUUUUCAAAAUUUUUACUAACUUGAAAUCCUUGCAAUAAAUUGCAUAAGUGAACUGGACUUUCAGUAUCCAAUACUUAGGUAGAAGUGUGACAUAUAGAAAAAUUCAAGAUGUUAUCAUAUAAGCACCUUGACCAGCAACUAAUUGCUCAUUUCUCUUUAUUCUAUUUGGGUCAUAGUCUGCUUGACUCGAUUUAGCCCUAAACUUUUUAGUUAGAUUGGGCUUAAGACAAAUGUUCA
rnacentral:lncRNA from 1 species